rnacentral:rRNA from 1 species
GAUAACACUUAGAAAUAGGUGCUAAUACCGCAUGAGCGCACAGCUCCGCAUGGAGCGGUGUGAAAAACUCCGGUGGUAUACGAUGGAUCCGCGUCUGAUUAGCCAGUUGGCGGGGUAACGGCCCACCAAAGCGACGAUCAGUAGCCGGCCUGAGAGGGUGAACGGCCACAUUGGGACUGAGACACGGCCCARACUCCUACGGGAGGCAGCAGUGGGGRAUAUUGGACAAUGGGGGRAACCCUGAUSCAGCGACGCCGCGUGAGUGAAGAAGUAUUUCGGUAUGUAAAGCUCUAUCAGCAGGAAAGAAAAUGACGGUACCUGACUAAGAAGCCCCGGCUAACUACGUGCCAGCAGCCGCGGUAAUACGUAGGGGGCAAGCGUUAUCCGGAUUUACUGGGUGUAAAGGGAGCGUAGACGGUGAAGCAAGUCUGAAGUGAAAGGCGGGGGCYCAACCCCCGGACUGCUUUGGAAACUGUGNNACUGGAGUGCAGGAGAGGNAAGUGGAAUUCCUAGUGUAGCGGUGAAAUGCGUAGAUAUUAGGAGGAACACCAGUGGCGAAGGCGGCUUGCUGGACUGUAACUGACGUUGAGGCUCGAAAGCGUGGGGAGCAAACAGGAUUAGAUACCCUGGUAGUCCACGCCGUAAACGAUGAUCACUAGGUGU